GACGAACCGUGCAAACGUUAUUCGGAAUCACUGGGCAUAAAGGGCGCGUAGGCGGCUUUCUAAGUCAGGGGUGAAAUCCGGCAGCUCAACUGUCGCAGUGCCUUUGAUACUGGAGAGCUCGAGGGAGGUAGGGGUCUGUGGAACUUCCGGUGGAGCGGUGAAAUGCGUUGAUAUCGGAAGGAACGCCGGUGGCGAAAGCGACGGACUGGAUCUCUUCUGACGCUGAGGCGCGAAAGCCAGGGGAGCAAACAGG
rnacentral:rRNA from 1 species